CAGAGGUGGCAAGCGUUGUUCGGAAUUACUGGGCGUAAAGGGCGCGUAGGUGGUCUUGUCAGUCAGACGUGAAAUCCCCAGGCUUAACCUGGGAACUGCGUCUGAUACUACGAGACUUGAGUUCGGGAGAGGGAUGUGGAAUUCCAGGUGUAGCGGUGAAAUGCGUAGAUAUCUGGAGGAACACCGGUGGCGAAGGCGGCAUCCUGGACCGAAACUGACACUGAUGCGCGAAAAGCCAGGGGAGCAAACGGGAUUAGAUACCCCGGUAGUCCUGGCCCUAAACGAUGAGUGCUUGGUGUGGCGGGUAUCGAUCCCUGCCGUGCCGAAGCUAACGCAUUAAGCACUCCGCCUGGGGAUACGGUCGCAAGGCUGA
rnacentral:rRNA from 1 species